rnacentral:rRNA from 1 species
UGGGGAAUAUUGGACAAUGGGGGAAACCCUGAUCCAGCGACGCCGCGUGUGUGAAGAAGGCCUGCGGGUUGUAAAGCACUUUCGGUGGGAACGAAAUGUGCCGGGCUAAUAUCCCGGCAAGCUGACGUUACUCAAUGAAGAAGCACCGGCUAACUCUGUGCCAGCAGCCGCGGUAAUACAGAGGGUGCGAGCGUUAAUCGGAAUUACUGGGCGUAAAGCGCACGUAGGUGGAUACUUUAGUCGAAUGUGAAAGCCCUGGGCUUAACCUGGGAAUUGCAUCCGAUACUGGGUAUCUAGAGUAUGGUAGAGGGAAGUGGAAUUUCCGGUGUAGCGGUGAAAUGCGUAGAUAUCGGAAAGAACACCAGUGGCGAAAGCGGCUUCCUGGACCAAUACUGACACUAAGGUGCGAAAGCGUGGGGAGCAAACAGGAUUAGAUACCCACGUAGUCCCUGAGCGGGCUGGCAAGGCGCAU